UUCGGAUUNUAGGCUGCAACCCGCCUGCAUGAAGUUGGAAUUGCUAGUAAUCGCGGAUCAGCAUGCCGCGGUGAAUACGUUCCCGGGGAUUGUACACACCGCCCGUCACACCAUGAGAGUCGGGAACACCCAAAGUCCGUAGUCUAACCGCAAGGAGGGCGCGGCCUAAGGUGGGUUCGAUAAUUGGGGUGAAGUCGUAACAAGGUACC
rnacentral:rRNA from 1 species